rnacentral:rRNA from 1 species
GACAGAGGGUGCAAACGUUGUUCGGAAUUACUGGGCGUAAAGCGCGCGUAGGCGGCUACUUAAGUCGGAUGUGAAAGCCCCUGGCUCAACUGGGGAAGUGCACCCGAAACUGAGUGGCUUGAGUGCGAAAGAGGGUCGCGGAAUUCCCGGUGUAGAGGUGAAAUUCGUAGAUAUCAGGAGGAACACCGGUGGCGAAGGCGGGUCUCUGGGCCGUAACUGACGCUGAGGAGCGAAAGCGUGGGGAGCAAACAGG